AGUGAACGCUGGCGGUAGGCCUAACACAUGCAAGUCGAACGGCAGCACAGUAAGAGCUUGCUCUUACGGGUGGCGAGUGGCGGACGGGUGAGGAAUACAUCGGAAUCUACUUUUUCGUGGGGGAUAACGUAGGGAAACUUACGCUAAUACCGCAUACGACCUACGGGUGAAAGCAGGGGAUCUUCGGACCUUGCGCGAUUGAAUGCGCCGAUGUCGGAUUAGCUAGUUGGCGGGGUAAAGGCCCACCAAGGCGACGAUCCGUAGCUGGUCUGAGAGGAUGAUCAGCCACACUGGAACUGAGACACGGUCCAGACUCCUACGGGAGGCAGCAGUGGGGAAUAUUGGACAAAGGGCGCAAGCCUGAUCCAGCCAUACCGCGUGGGUGAAGAAGGCCUUCGGGUUGUAAAGCCCUUUUGUUGGGAAAGAAAAGCAGCAGGUUAAUACCCCGCUGUUCUGACGGUACCCAAAGAAUAAGCACCGGCUAACUUCGUG
rnacentral:rRNA from 1 species